rnacentral:rRNA from 1 species
GACGAACGCUGGCGGCGUGCUUAACACAUGCAAGUCGAACGGAAAGGCCCUGCUUUUGUGGGGUGCUCGAGUGGCGAACGGGUGAGUAACCCGUGAGUAACCUGCCCUUGACUUUGGGAUAACUUCAGGAAACUGGGGCUAAUACCGGAUAGGAGCUCCUGCUGCAUGGUGGGGGUUGGAAAGUUUCGGCGGUGGGGGAUGGACGCGCGGCUUAUCAGCUUGUUGGUGGGGUAGUGGCUUACCAAGGCUUUGACCGGUAGCCGGCCUGAGAGGGUGACCGGCCACAUUGGGACUGAGAUACGGCCCAGACUCCUACGGGAGGCAGCAGUGGGGAAUAUUGCACAAUGGGCGGAAGCCUGAUGCAGCAACGCCGCGUGCGGGAUGACGGCCUUCGGGUUGUAAACCGCUUUCGCCUGUGACGAAGCGUGAGUGACGGUAAUGGGUAAAGAAGCACCGGCUAACUACGUG